UUUGAAUAAGGUUGUACCAAAAGGCUGUAGCAUUUGACCUAACCAAGAUCAUACUUGUUUGCAUCAAUCAUGUUGAUCAAUGGAUGAAUAUUACAAUUUGUGUGAACACAUAUAUUUAUGAUGUUUCUGUUUUGUUUUGUUUUUUACAUAUAUACAUAGAGAAAAAACCAUAUACAAGCUAGUUCUUUACAAGUCUGUAUUGAAUAACAUUACAAAGGUUCUUAUGUAAUUUACAGGUUUCUUUUUAUUUUCUUCUUUUGUUUAUUUAUUUCUUUCAUUCUGCGAUGUCUUCAAAUAAUUUAAGAUAAGUCUGUACCCAAUCUGUUAAAAGAAAUGAAUACUUCAACAUUUUUUGUAUUUUUAGAAUUUUUUAUUAUGAGAAAUGUACUUUCGGAUUGACAACAUUUAUCAGCACUCUUUGAAAUUGCAAACAAAUUAAAACAUAAUGAAAUUACAUUAUGCUCAUGGUUUUUAUAUAACACUUGCUUUUAUAUCUUUUAAUUUUUUAAAUUUAACUUUAAAUUAAUUUUUUUUUUCCACUAUUGAAGAGCUAGCUUCAAUAUUGAAUGGUUAUGGAAAUUUCCACAGCAUUUUGCAAGUAUGAUUUGUAUAACUUUGAUGGUUUUUUUCACUGAAAUUGACCAAAAUUAUCUAAACAAAACAGAUUGGUAUACUAAAAUCUAUUAUGUAGGGUUGUGGUAAUUAGAAUUUCCAGUAAAAAAUUCUUCUCAUAUAAAUGAAUCAAAAUAAAAUAAAUCACUUAUGUAUUUAAUUUUUUAAAAAUACUUUAGAUCACAAGACAUAAAGCAAUUAAUUUACAAAUGUGAACAAUAUGUUCAUUGACUUCAAACCUUUGCACAUCAAUAUUAUCUGUCAAAAAAAUAGUUGAAGGGAUAGUUGUCCAUGUCAUGUACACCAACAUAAAAUGUUACACACAAAACACCCAUAGAUUGAGAUCAGAGAAUAAACAGGUUUCACAUCACAUUCAAAUGAAUAAAAAAUGACUUGCCUGAAUGAUGUUUUUGUCUCCAAAAUACUCUCCAUUUAGAACAUGUUUGACUAAAUAUUGAACAAUUUAAUUGGUAAUUGUGCACAAUAAUUUUCUGACAAAACAUUUUCGCCCACCAGCUCUUCUUUGUCCAACCUCUUGCUGCAUGUUCUGAUGUAAAAUUGUUCUUAAAUCUGUAAAAAGUUCUUUAGUAUUGAAUAAAAUUAUUGCUGUGUUACAUAUCAACAAUACAGUUGACAAUUUUUAGAAUGAUUUGAUAUGGACAAGAAAAAAGAAAAAAGAAAAUAUACACACACAUUAAAAAUAAAAAUUAAUAAAUAAAAAAUUUUAUGUUUAUGCAUUUGAACAUACAAUCUACAAAAAUAAUCAUAAUUUAUUGCUCACAAUAAUUUUAUCAUAGAAUUAUUUAUUGAUGAACUUAUAUGCAUUCUUGAAAUUCUUCUACUAUUAUUAACUUGAAAAAUGGUUGAGCUUGUAAUCAAAUUUCGGCAUUGAUUUUGUUUCAUGAUAUUAUUUGUGAUUAUUUAUUAUUUUAUUAAUUUAUAAAAUUUUCACAGAAUUAAAUUUUAUUUUGAUAUCAUAAUUUAAUAUACUAUGAGGGAUAUUUCAUUUUGCUUUUAGUAUAACCAAUAGGAACGUAUGUAUGUAUAUAUAAAUAUAUAUAUAUAUAUAUAUAUAUAUAGGUAAAUGUCAAAACGACCCAUCUAUUUACUAAAUAAGUCCACCCUAUUGUGACCGUCAUUAGAAAAUGGAUCAUCUCCAAAAAGCAUUGUUACAAUCAUGGCCCUCAUCUCCACCC
rnacentral:lncRNA from 1 species